rnacentral:lncRNA from 1 species
UCGGAAUAGUGGUUUAAUUGCUACUUGCACUAGACCAACAUGAAGAUAAUUGAACUGAUGUUUAAAUCGGUCUAUAUCUAAUUUAUUGAACAGUUGAAUAAUUUCUAAGGAAUUAUUAAUAGCAACAGUAGACUCAGAGGUCUUGAUAUUAUGUUUUUUCAAAAAACUAAAUUUUCCUAUUUGGUAAAUAGUAUUGAAAGAUUCUUCUGGAAUACUCCAGUUUUGAAGAUCAUUUUCAAUAGUAGCAAUCGGAGUUGCUUGAGAAGAUAUGUUAACAGUGUUUUUAAUAUGACUGUUCAUU